GGCUCCAUAGCUCAAUGGUGGAGCAAGCGACUCAUAAUCGCCAGGCUACAGGUUCGAAUCCUGUUGGAGCCA
rnacentral:tRNA from 2 species